UACGUAGGGUGCAGGCGUUAAUCGGAAUUACUGGGCGUAAAGCGUGCGCAGGCGGUUUCUUAAGUCAGAUGUGAAAGCCCCGGGCUUAACCUGGGAACUGCGUUUGAAACUGGGAGACUUGAGUGUGGGCAGAGGGGGGGUGGAAUUCCACGUGUAGCAGUGAAAUGCGUAGAUAAUGUGGAGGAACACCGAUGGCGGAAGGGCAGCCCCCCUGG
rnacentral:rRNA from 1 species